UCCCUGGUGGUCCAAUGGUUAAGACUUGGCACUUCCACUGCAGUGGCCCAUGUUCAACCCCUGGUCAGGGAA
rnacentral:tRNA from 1 species